UACGGAGGAUCCGAGCGUUAUCCGGAUUUAUUGGGUUUAAAGGGUGCGUAGGCGGCGCGCUAAGUCAGUGGUGAAAGACGGUGGCUCAACCAUCGCAGUGCCGUUGAUACUGGCGCGCUUGAAUGCGGAUGAGGUAGGCGGAAUGUGGCAAGUAGCGGUGAAAUGCAUAGAUAUGCCACAGAACACCGAUUGCGAAGGCAGCUUACCAAGGCGAUAUUGACGCUGAUGCACGAAAGCGUGGGGAUCGAACAGG
rnacentral:rRNA from 1 species